ACCUGACAGCUCUUUACAUUCGCUGUUCGCCUGGGAACUACGAGCGUAAGCUUAAAACCCAAAGGACUUGACGGUGCUUUAUAUCCCCCUAGAGGAGCCUGUCCUAGAACCGAUAAUCCCCGUUUAACCUCACCUUUUCUUGCUCAUUCCGCCUAUAUACCGCCGUCUCCAGUCUACCCUGUAAAGGACCCAUAGUAGGCGAAAUUGGUACAGCCCCAGACGACAGGUCGAGGUGUAGCGUAUGAAAAGGGAAGAGAUGGGCUACAUUCAGUGACACACUGAAUACGGAGAGCUAAUUGAAAUAUUAACUUGAAGGUGGAUUUAGCAGUAAGCGGGG
rnacentral:rRNA from 1 species